rnacentral:lncRNA from 1 species
AUUAACUCAUUGGCCAAGUGAUGAAAAGAAGGGGAUGAAGAUGAAAGGGAGGGAAAGAGAAUACAAGUAUCAAAUUCAAUUGAUCAAAUGUGAACCAAGUCAUCAUCAAUCAAUGCUAAACAGAAAAGAAAUGAAGAUUACAAGUCAACCAUAAUUUAUUUAUUUUUUAUAUUUUUUGAAUUAAAAUAAAAUGUAAAUAAAAAUAAUGAAAAUAAGGUCAAACCUCAAAUUUAAUUCAAAUCAACUUCAACA